rnacentral:sRNA from 1 species
AAAUGCGAUCCGGCUCUUGAAUGCUUCGCCCGAUACACCAUCUUAAGCCGCAUACAUCGUUUCCAGCUGCGUGACCACGGAUGUACUGGCACCGCUGUCGAGACGAUUGAAGGAAGGUCGGGUUUCAUCGCCCGGCCUUUUUCUUU